GGAUGUGAGGGCGAUCUGGUUGCGACAUCUGUCACCCCAUUGAUCACCAGGGUUGAUUCGGCUGAUCUGGCUGGCUAGGCGGGUGUCCCCUUCCUCCCUCACUGCUCCAUGUGCGUCCCUCCCGAAGCUGCGCACUUGGUGGAAGAGGACGACGUCCCAGGUAUAGAAGGAGUGUACCGAGGUCUCCAGUCUUCGGUCCCGGCUAUUCAUUAUUUACUCCUUGUGACAAGCAGGCACGCAGAAAAUAUUCAGGCUGUAUGAUAUCAGGAGGUAUAGUGCAUCUAGAAAAACUUGUAUAUUAGAACCAGAGACCUGGGGGAAGAGAUGUUUUAUAAU
rnacentral:snRNA from 11 species